AUUGAACGCUGGCGGCAGGCCUAACACAUGCAAGUCGAGCGGCAGCGGGAAAGUAGCUUGCUACUUUUGCCGGCGAGCGGCGGACGGGUGAGUAAUGCCUGGGGAUCUGCCCAGUCGAGGGGGAUAACUACUGGAAACGGUAGCUAAUACCGCAUACGCCCUACGGGGGAAAGCAGGGGACCUUCGGGCCUUGCGCGAUUGGAUGAACCCAGGUGGGAUUAGCUAGUUGGUGAGGUAAUGGCUCACCAAGGCGACGAUCCCUAGCUGGUCUGGAAGGAUGAGCAGCCACACUGGAACUGAGACACGGUCCAGACUCCUACGGGAGGCAGCAGUGGGGAAUAUUGCACAAUGGGGGAAACCCUGAUGCAGCCAUGCCGCGUGUGUGAAGAAGGCCUUCGGGUUGUAAAGCACUUUCAGCGAGGAGGAAAGGUUGGUAGCUAAUAACUGCCAGCUGUGACGUUACUCGCAGAAGAAGCACCGGCUAACUCCGUGCCAGCCGCCGCCGUAAUAC
rnacentral:rRNA from 1 species